rnacentral:rRNA from 1 species
CACGUAGGGGGCAAGCGUUGUCCGGAAUUAUUGGGCGUAAAGAGCUCGUAGGCGGCUCGGUAAGUCAGGUGUGAAAUUCCAGGGCUCAACCCUGGAACGCCACCUGAUACUGCCGUGGCUAGAGUCCGGUAGGGGAGCGUGGAAUUCCUAGUGUAGCGGUGAAAUGCGCAGAUAUUAGGAGGAACACCAGCGGCGAAGGCGGCGCUCUGGGCCGGAACUGACGCUGAGGAGCGAAAGCGUGGGGAGCAAACAGGAUUAGAUACCCCCGUAGUCC